GGGUAAAACAUUUUAAAACAUUCUCUUCAUAACUGCAGAGUGUUAAAAUCCACUAUGUACUAUAGUCAGGGAAAUAUAUGGUUAAGAGUAAAGAUCCUUUCUUCUCAAUCCUAUCACUUGGAGUUUUUGUAUAUUUUUGAAAAGAAAGUUAGCAUACCUUUUAUCCUCAUAGGUUCUCUCCAAUCACUCAUUAUCUUUUAUAUAUCUCACUGAGGCUGUUUUAAUUUGCAAAAAUUCUCAAGCAUACUUACUUUGCAUUUAUUGCUUGAUCAAAACGGGAUCUGAGGAGGGGAAUGUCAUACUCUUAGAUCAAAGACUUUGGGAAUUUAAAAAUUUUGUCAACUCUUGCUGGCAUAUUACUAAUUAGAGGGACCAUGGACUAUCAUUUUCUUUUUCUUCUUUUUUUAAGUGGAUACCGAGGUACCCCUAAUUCUACUGCCGGACACUUGUCAAUUUUUUUCUGCGAGGUUGUCGAGCACUUGCUCCUUUUUAUUUCCUCGAAAUAUCUCUAUUUUUGCAUAGCCCAUGCCUCUAAUGCAAUAAUACUUCGGAAGAUUGAAUCUUUCUGAAUAAAUGUCUUGAUCUUUGGAGCAUGAUAAAUCUCUCAACAAGGGUAUAACUCAUUUGAACAAACUCAAUACAGAGUAGAUAGCCUUUAUAAUCAUAAUUAAUUUUUCUAGUUUUAGUAGGCAUAUAAAACACUGAGGAUGGUAGCUAGAAUUUUUGAAGAUUUUGAAAUAAAUUCUCCAAGUAAUAAUGAUAUCAAGAAUAAGAAACUCAUACUCUACCAUCUCCUAUUCCAUAAUGACUUAAGUAACCCAGGUUUUUUAAAAUGAUUCUUUUCCAAUAAUUGCAAGUUUUAGGAAAUAUUAGAGAGUGAGAUUAAAUCAUGUUUAGAAAUAUUUUAAUCUUUUUAAUUUAUCAAGUCGGAAACAAUAUUCUGCAUAAUCCAAGAUAUAUGUAUGUGUAAUAGUAAAGUGUGCAGAGUGUGUACCUGAAUCGUGGAGUGGUGUAGUCGAAGUGUGUUUGGCAUGUCGAGGGAUCUACCCCAUACUUGUUUUCUGCUUUCUUGCACAAAAAUAAAGUAGAGACACACAAGACAUAAUAAUAAUAAUAAUACUCUUUAUUAAUCUUGAGGCAUUUAUUACAAAAGACUAGUAGCAAACUGAUGAUAAUAGUAGCAAACUGACAAUAAUAGUAAACCUAAACCGAAUUUAAAGAUAGAUAACUAAGAUGCAUUGCCUUAAGAUCUAAUCUAGAUAACUUAGCAGCUCUCUAACUCCUUGAUCUUCUUAUUGGCACUAGCAAGAUCAUGCCUGUAACAGAACCGUCCAAAUUAUAAGAGAUUAAGUCUAAUAGCGACCAUUUGCAUAGUCAAACCAUCCAGCUUAAGCCCAUAUAAUCCUGGUAGUCCAUGAAAUCUCGAAGGAUUUCAAACCACACAUCGUACAUACAACCAAGAUCGUAAUAAGUUCAGUGGUCACCAUUCACAGUUACAUCCAGUUCGAAAACGUUCAUCGAAAACAUCGGAGUGCUUAAAAUUAUUACAAACCAAGUUCAUAAGUAGCGGAAGCUUCAUAGUUUGAAAGUACACACACAAGUUCAGUUUGAUAUAGUGUCAUAGUUUUGGUCAUUCCCACAAAAGCAAAAGAAGAGACGGAGUGACCAUCGCCCUUAGUCUAGUGUUGAUAUUUGGGAACGCAAUAAGGAAUUGAUCCGCAAGCGCACGGAUAUCGGUGAGCACUUCACCCGGGAAAUUAUCUAGAGUAUCGUAUUUAUUUUUUUACCACUAGGAGAAAGAGUGCAUCUGACUAACCGGUCUAUUACUACUAACCUUUAGGCACAAAGAAUGUCUUUCGAUGUGAGUGAUAAAUAGAGAAGACUGCAACCGUAGUCUCCUUCUAACCUUGGUAAGGAUGAUCUACUGUUCUAAUGGGGAGACUAACGGAAUCUAGACAACACAAAGGAUGUUCGACCCGCACCUAUAAACCCUAUCCUUCCUGCUAACGAGAUGUGAUCUACAAAGGUAACUCAGAAUUGUCACGUUCCUCACUACUACCACGGUCCAGCUAGUCAGGGAAUAUCUAUGAGUACCCCAGCCUAAACACCACGUUUACGCCAGCAAUGAUUACUCUAAACUCUACGCGAAGAGAUUAAAGUAAACUCAUAAACCAUAAGAAUAAUAAAACAAGAACUUACUAGAAUUUAGAAGUCGAAAUACUGAAGAAUCCUAGGAGCAAGCUUCGGGUUAGGAGAACUUGAUCCCGCAGGUACAAGCUUGGAGUAGACACCGACAGGCCGGGCUUCCUCCAAUCUACACCUCCACUCUAUCUCUCUCAAUCUAGUAGAAACUAGAAGAUCUAUUUCUACCUUACAUUGGUUGCUAAGCCUAAAAAGAAAUAUUAAUUAGAGAAGAGAUUUUCCUUCGAGGGCACCCCUCAGUCUCUAUGAUAAUUUCUUCAUGUCUUCUCCAGGGGCCAGGGGGGUCUCCUUAUAUAGUCCUCCCCUUCUAUGCGUUUUUGGGUCGAUAGGCGAGGUGGUACUAUGUUUUUCUUGAUCCAACGGGUCGGUGGAAUAUCCCGAGCGAAGAGAGUCCUGAUUGGCAUCCAGAGGGGGGCGAGUGCCCAGGUCACGAGGGCGGGCGCCCUGGGCCUGGCCCCUUUCGGCCUCCGUCUUCUUCCCGUGGCUUCUGGAGUCUUCUAGAUGGUGGAAAAUCGCGCGGUGCGUUGAUAUCUCUAUGUAAUCCCGACAUGUGGGCCUUUCUUCCUUAUUUCCUGAUAACCCCCUGCAGAAACAGAUAAACAACAAAACUCGUGGAAUUCUGUCAGAUCAAACCCUAAUUCUAGGUGUUGGUUGCAUAUUGGUCCUUUCUCUUGUUUCUUUGAUAAUUAAAAUUGAUACUUAAGAACCGUCAACAAAUACCCCCAUACUUAGGCUUUUACUCGUCCUCGAGAAAAGGAUGGUUAAGAACAAUAUUUGGGGUAAAAUAUUUAAAACAUUGUCUUUAUAAUUGCAGGGUGUUAAAAUUCCACUGUGUACCAUAGUCAGGGAUGUUUAUGGUCAAGAGUAAAGAUCCUUUCUUCUCAAUCCUGUCACUUGGAGUUUUUGUAUAUUUUUGAAAGAGAGUUAGCAUACCUUUUGAUCCCAUAGGUUCUCUCAGAUCACUCAUUAUCUUUUAUAUAUAUAUCUCACUGAGUUUGUCUUAAUUUUGCAAAAAUUCUCAAGCAUACUUACUUUGCAUUUAUUGCCUGAUCAAAACGGGAUCCGAGGAGGGGAAUGUCAUACUCUUAGAUCAAAGACUUUGGAAAUUAAAAUCUUUGUCAACUCUUGCUGGCAUAUUGCUUAUUAGAGGGACCAUGGGCUAUCAUUUUUUUUCUCUUUUCUCUCUUCUUUUUUUAAGUGGAUACCAAGGUACCCCUAAUUCUACUGCCGGACACUUGUCCAUUUUUCUGCGAGGUUGUCGAGCACUUGCUCCUUUUUAUUUCCUCGAAAUAUUUUUAUUUUUGCAUAGCCCAUGCCUCUAAUGCAAUAAUACUUCGGAAGAGUGAAUCUUUCUGAAAUAAAUGUCUUGAUCUUAGGAGCAUGAUAAAUCUCUCAACAAGGGUCUAACUCAUUUUGAACAAACUCAAUACAGAGUAGAUAGCUUUUGUAAUUAAUAUUCAAUAUUUUUCAGUCUUAUCAGGCAUAUAAAACACUGAGGAUGGUAGCUAGAAUUUUGAAUAUUUUAAAAUAAAUUCUCCAAGUAGCAAUGAUAUCAAGAAUAAGAAACUCAUACUCUACCAUCACAUAUUCCAUAAUGACUUAAGUAACACAGGGUUUUAAAAUGAUUUUCAAUAAUUGCAAGUUUUCAGGAAAUAUCACAGAUUGAGAUUAAUCAUGAUUAGAAAUAUUUUAAUAUUUUUAUUUUAUCAUGUUGGAAACAGUAAUCUGCAUAAUCCAAAAUAUAUGUAUAUGUAAAGUAAAGUGUGCCGAGUGUGUACCUGAAUCGUGGAGUGGUGUAGUCGGAGUAUGUUUGGC
rnacentral:lncRNA from 1 species